rnacentral:rRNA from 1 species
UGGCCUUGACAUGUACCGAAUUGAGCAGAGAUGUUCAAGUGCUCGAAAGAGAACGGUAACACAGGUGCUGCAUGGCUGUCGUCAGCUCGUGUCGUGAGAUGUUGGGUUAAGUCCCGCAACGAGCGCAACCCUUGCCAUUAAUUGCCAUCAUUUAGUUGGGCACUUUAAUGGGACUGCCGGUGACAAACCGGAGGAAGGUGGGGAUGACGUCAAGUCCUCAUGGCCCUUAUGGCCAGGGCUUCACACGUAAUACAAUGGUCGGUACAGAGGGUUGCCAACCCGCGAGGGGGAGCCAAUCCCAGAAAGCCGAUCGUAGUCCGGAUUGUAGUCUGCAACUCGACUGCAUGAAGUCGGAAUCGCUAGUAAUCGCGGAUCAGCAUGUCGCGGUGAAUACGUUCCCGGGCC